GUGUGCGGAACUCGAUUGGCUGAGUACGACACUUCCAAUGUCGCUGUUGCGGGUUCGACUCCCGUCGCACACUC
rnacentral:tRNA from 1 species